GACGAACGCUGGCGGCGUGCCUAACACAUGCAAGUCGAGCGGAGAAUAUAGCAAUAUAUUCUUAGCGGCGGACGGGUGAGUAACGCGUGGGUAACCUGCCUUUUACAGGGGGAUAACACAGGGAAACUUGUGCUAAUACCGCAUAACAUAUCGAAGUGGCAUCACUAUGAUAUCAAAGGAGCAAUCCGGUAAAAGAUGGACCCGCGUCCAAUUAGCUAGUUGGUGGGGUAAAGGCCCACCAAGGCGACGAUUGGUAGCCGAACUGAGAGGUUGAUCGGCCACAUUGGGACUGAGACACGGCCCAGACUCCUACGGGAGGCAGCAGUGGGGAAUAUUGCGCAAUGGGGGAAACCCUGACGCAGCAACGCCGCGUGAAGGAUGAAGGUUUUCGGAUUGUAAACUUCUUUGAUUGGGGAAGAUAAUGACGGUACCCAAAAACAAGCCACGGCUAACUACGUGCCAGCCGCCGCGGUAA
rnacentral:rRNA from 1 species